GGUCAUUUGAUAUCAGUAUACUUCAUCAAUGUGAGUUUCAUCUACAGAGGGCAGCAGAGGCUUGAUUCCUUUGUGGUCUAAGGAUACCUAAGUACAGAACAGCACUUGAAGGUAAAACUUUUGUAUUUUAGUUCUAAAAUAUUUUGAGAUUCAGCUCAAUAUGCCGAGACAAUUAAAAGUAAACUUUAUGAAGUCUAAUUCCACUAAAAAGUGAAAAAAACUCUGGCUCCAUUACUGACCAAUGGAGUGGCACUGGCUCAACCAAUGGUGUGAGUUUGGGGCGGGACUUUCUGUUAUCCUGAACAAUGUGAGAGAAGGGGGUUGUUUUGAAACCUGCAAUUUUGUUUGUUGACUGUAGUGAUGCAUAAAAGCAGGAGUCACCAAACUUGGUCCUGGAGGGCCGGUGUCCUGCAGAGUUUAAAGUAAAAAUCUGAAAUUUUGAUGUUAAAACUUUGUGAACUAGUAAAAAGACUUUUAAUGCAUUUUUAUGGUUUUUAAUGGAGUUUUAAAUGGAGCUUCAAGAAUCCAUUAUCGGGGACGGCGGCCAAUAUCAUUACAGCUUCUCCAUUAAAACAGCUGCAGAGAUCUUUCCCAGACAAGGAGCUCUGUGGUGCAUCUGUCUGUCCACCAGAUCCGUGACCGAUCCUGUUUUCCUGUCUGAGGCUGGGCAUUGUUGGGAACCGUGCCCACUGACAGCUUGCUUUGGAGAAACCAGUGGCUGUGUACAAGGGGGCAUUGGUCUACAGUCGUUUAAUUACACCAGCACUGUCCAUCACUGUUUGGACACAAAACCACCAUCUGCGGGUCGUUCCAUAUGUGUCUAAACAUGGACUUUCAAUCCGAUCGGCAGGAUCUGGAAACUUCUCUCUCUCAGCUCACAGCCUGUCUGAAACGCAGUAAUGCUCAACACAUGAAAAAAAGAAGAAGAACAAACCAUCUCUUCAGAUUUGGGAUAAAGCGUCUGAUAGCUAUAUAUCAUGAUAUUACUACACAUAUAAAGUUAU
ensembl:lncRNA